GCUGGUGUAGCUCAGCCGGUAGAGCGGCGCACUCGUAAUGCGCAGGUCAGCGGUUCGAUCCCGCUCACCAGCU
rnacentral:tRNA from 1 species